rnacentral:rRNA from 1 species
UACGGGGGGGGCAAGCGUUGCUCGGAAUUACUGGGCGUAAAGCGCACGUAGGCGGCCUUUCAAGUCAGAUGUGAAAGCCCCGGGCUUAACCCGGGAAUUGCAUUUGAUACUGUUGGGCUUGAGACCGGGAGAGGAUAGCGGAAUUCCCAGUGUAGAGGUGAAAUUCGUAGAUAUUGGGAAGAACACCAGUGGCGAAGGCGGCUAUCUGGACCGGUACUGACGCUGAGGUGCGAAAGCGUGGGGAGCAAACAGG